UGGGGAAUCUUGCGCAAUGGGCGAAAGCCUGACGCAGCAACGCCGCGUGAGGGAAGACGGCUUUCGGGUUGUAAACCUCUUUCAGCAGGGACGAAAAUGACGGUACCUGCAGAAGAAGCCCCGGCCAACUACGUGCCAGCAGCCGCGGUAACACGUAGGGGGCGAGCGUUGUCCGGAUUUAUUGGGCGUAAAGAGCUCGUAGGCGGCUCGGCAAGUCGGAUGUGAAAUUCCAGGGCUCAACCCUGGAACGCCAUUCGAUACUGCUGUGGCUAGAGUCCGGUAGGGGAGCGUGGAACUCCUGGUGUAGCGGUGAAAUGCGCAGAUAUCAGGAAGAACACCAGCGGCGAAGGCGGCGCUCUGGGCCGGUACUGACGCUGAGGAGCGAAAGCGUGGGGAUCAAACAGGAUUAGAUACCCCCGUAGUCC
rnacentral:rRNA from 1 species